rnacentral:rRNA from 1 species
GACGAACGCUGGCGGCGUGCCUAAUACAUGCAAGUAGAACGCUGAAGCUUGGUGCUUGCACCGAGCGGAGGAGUUGCGAACGGGUGAGUAACGCGUAGGUAACCUGCCUCUUAGCGGGGGAUAACUAUUGGAAACGAUAGCUAAUACCGCAUAAAAGUCGACAUUGCAUGAUGUUGACUUGAAAGGUGCAACUGCAUCACUAAGAGAUGGACCUGCGUUGUAUUAGCUAGUUGGUGAGGUAACGGCUCACCAAGGCGACGAUACAUAGCCGACCUGAGAGGGUGAUCGGCCACACUGGGACUGAGACACGGCCCAGACUCCUACGGGAGGCAGCAGUAGGGAAUCUUCGGCAAUGGACGGAAGUCUGACCGAGCAACGCCGCGUGAGUGAAGAAGGUUUUCGGAUCGUAAAGCUCUGUUGUAAGAGAAGAACGAGUGUGAGAGUGGAAAGUUCACACUGUGACGGUAACUUACCAGAAAGGGACGGCUAACUACGUGCCAGCAGCCGCGGUAAUACGUAGGUCCCGAGCGUUAUCCGGAUUUAUUGGGCGUAAAGCGAGCGCAGGCGGUUAGAUAAGUCUGAAGUUAAAGGCUGUGGCUUAACCAUAGUACGCUUUGGAAACUGUUUAACUUGAGUGCAGAAGGGGAGAGUGGAAUUCCAUGUGUAGCGGUGAAAUGCGUAGAUAUAUGGAGGAACACCGGUGGCGAAAGCGGCUCUCUGGUCUGUAACUGACGCUGAGGCUCGAAAGCGUGGGGAGCGAACAGG